rnacentral:rRNA from 1 species
CCUACGGGAGGCAGCAGUGGGGAAUAUUGGUCAAUGGAGGCAACUCUGACCCAGCAACGCCGCGUGAGUGAUGAAUGUCUUCUGAUUUUAAAACUCUUUAUAUGGGGACGUAGAAGUUGACUGUACCCACAGAUUAAGCCUCGGCUAACUACGUGCCAGCAGCCGCGGUAAUACGUAGGCGGCAAGCGUUAUCCGGAUUGACUGGGUGUACAGAGUGCGUAGGUGGGUUGGCAAGUUAGUAGCGUAAUUCCGGGGCUCAACUUCGUAAGUACGACGAAAACUGGUGGGCUUGAGUGCAGGGAAGGCGGAUGGAAUUCGUAGUGUAGCGGUGGAAUGCGUAGAUAUUAGGAGGAACCCCAGAGGCGAAAGCGAUCCACUGGACUGUUACUGACACUGAGGCACGAAAGCGCGGGGAGCAAACAGGAUUAGAUACCCGGGUAGUC